rnacentral:pre_miRNA from 1 species
AAAAUACUCCCUCCGUCCGGAAAUACUUGUCAUCGAAAUGAAUAAAAAGAGAUGUAUCUAGACAUAUUUUAGUUCUAGAUACAUCCCUUUUUGUCCAUUUUGAUGACAAGUAUUUUCGGACGGAGGGAGUACAUA